AUUCCUACGGGAGGCAGCAGUGAGGAAUAUUGGACAAUGGGCGCAAGCCUGAUCCAGCCAUGCCGCGUGAGUGAUGAAGGCCUUAGGGUUGUAAAGCUCUUUUACCAGGGAAGAUAAUGACGGUACCUGGAGAAUAGGCCCCGGCUAACUUCGUGCCAGCAGCCGCGGUAAUAAU
rnacentral:rRNA from 1 species